rnacentral:rRNA from 1 species
UACAGAGGGGGCAAGCGUUGUUCGGGAUUACUGGGCGUAAAGGGCGCGUAGGCGGCCUUCUAAGUCGAACGUGAAAUCCCCGGGCUCAACCCGGGAACUGCGUCCGAUACUGGAAGGCUUGAAUCCGGGAGAGGGAUGCGGAAUUCCAGGUGUAGCGGUGAAAUGCGCAGAUAUCAGGAGGAACACCGGUGGCGAAGGCGGUUCUCUGGGCAUGUCCUGACGCUGAGGAGCGAAAGUGUGGGGAGCGAACAGG